ACGAAGUAGCAAUACUUAGUGGCAGACGGGUGAGUAACAUGUAGGUAUCUGCCCUUUGGCCUGGAAUAACACGAGGAAACUUGUGCUAAUACCGGAUAAGUCUUUACGGAGAAAGCUUUAUGCACCAUUGGAUGAGCCUGCACUUGAUUAGUUUGUUGGUGGGGUAAUGGCCUACCAAGACUGUGAUCAAUAGCUGAUUUGAGAGGAUGAUCAGCCACAUUGGGACUGAGACACGGCCCAAACUCCUACGGGAGGCAGCAGUGGGGAAUCUUGCACAAUGGAGGAAACUCUGAUGCAGCGAUGCCGCGUGAGUGAAGAAGGCCUUUGGGUUGUAAAGCUCUUUCGUCGGGGAAGAAAAUGACUGUACCCGAAUAAGAAGGUCCGGCUAACUU
rnacentral:rRNA from 1 species